CAAUUGGUCCUAUAAAUGAAGGCUUCCCCAUUACCAAACCCUUCAUCGUUUAGAAUUUCAGAUCCGAUAGAAACCAGAGGCAAACCCAAAUUCUUUGAAGCUCUUCUAAGUUCUCUCUUACCUCACUUCCAAGAUGCAGAUCUUCGUGAAAACCCUCACAGGCAAGACCAUCACCCUCGAGGUUGAAAGCUCUGACACCAUUGACAAUGUCAAAGCCAAGAUUCAGGACAAGGAAGGCAUUCCCCCAGACCAGCAGAGGCUGAUCUUUGCUGGCAAGCAGCUUGAGGAUGGCCGCACCCUCGCCGAUUACAACAUCCAGAAGGAGUCCACCCUCCACUUGGUGCUUCGUCUCCGUGGUGGUAUGCAAAUCUUUGUCAAGACCCUUACCGGGAAGACAAUAACCUUGGAAGUUGAAAGCUCGGAUACUAUUGACAAUGUCAAGGCAAAGAUCCAGGACAAGGAGGGAAUUCCCCCAGACCAGCAGAGGCUCAUCUUUGCUGGAAAGCAGCUUGAGGAUGGCCGCACCCUGGCGGAUUACAACAUCCAGAAGGAGUCCACCCUCCACUUGGUGCUUCGUCUCCGUGGUGGUAUGCAAAUCUUUGUCAAGACCCUUACCGGGAAGACAAUAACCUUGGAAGUUGAAAGCUCGGAUACUAUUGACAAUGUCAAGGCAAAGAUCCAGGACAAGGAGGGAAUUCCCCCAGACCAGCAGAGGCUCAUCUUUGCUGGAAAGCAGCUUGAGGAUGGCCGCACCCUGGCGGAUUACAACAUCCAGAAGGAGUCCACCCUCCACUUGGUGCUUCGUCUCCGUGGUGGUAUGCAAAUCUUUGUCAAGACCCUUACCGGGAAGACAAUAACCUUGGAAGUUGAAAGCUCGGAUACUAUUGACAAUGUCAAGGCAAAGAUCCAGGACAAGGAGGGAAUUCCCCCAGACCAGCAGAGGCUCAUCUUUGCUGGAAAGCAGCUUGAGGAUGGCCGCACCCUGGCCGACUACAACAUCCAGAAGGAGUCCACCCUCCACUUGGUGCUUCGUCUCCGUGGUGGUAUGCAAAUCUUUGUUAAGACCCUUACUGGGAAGACAAUCACCUUGGAAGUUGAAAGCUCGGAUACCAUUGACAAUGUCAAGGCAAAGAUCCAGGACAAGGAGGGCAUUCCCCCAGACCAGCAGAGGCUCAUCUUCGCUGGUAAGCAGCUUGAGGAUGGACGCACCCUUGCUGACUAUAACAUCCAAAAAGAAUCGACUCUGCAUUUGGUGCUCCGGCUGCGUGGUGGUAUGCAGAUAUUUGUGAAAACUCUGACCGGGAAAACCAUUACUCUGGAAGUGGAAAGCUCUGAUACUAUUGAUAAUGUUAAGGCCAAAAUCCAGGACAAGGAGGGUAUUCCCCCAGACCAGCAGAGGUUGAUCUUUGCAGGCAAGCAGCUCGAGGAUGGAAGGACCCUUGCUGACUACAACAUUCAAAAGGAGUCCACUCUGCACUUGGUGCUUCGACUGCGUGGUGGGAUGCAGAUCUUUGUGAAGACUCUGACUGGCAAGACCAUAACGUUGGAGGUGGAGAGUUCGGAUACAAUUGAUAAUGUGAAGGCCAAGAUUCAGGACAAGGAGGGCAUUCCUCCAGACCAGCAGAGGCUCAUCUUUGCCGGUAAGCAGCUCGAGGAUGGGAGGACUCUUGCAGAUUACAACAUUCAGAAGGAGUCUACCCUUCACCUUGUCCUUCGUCUCCGAGGUGGUUUCUGAAUUCUGAAUGAUCCUUGUGGUUCCAUCCUUUUCUGAUCAGUGAACAGUGGCUUUGUUAAGUAUUUUUAUUUUUGAAUUUUCGUACUUGGCUGAUGGAUGAUGGGUCACACUAAGACUAUCUCGUUAAUAAAUAAACAUGCUUUGUAUGUAUCUGCUCAGUUUCUUUUUAGCAUUUGAAAUUUCUGUUAUACAUGCAUCUAUAUUGCUCUAUAAUAUUGUUUUUGGAACUUUGGAUGGUCGGAUUGGAGAUGUGGUCUGGUUAAAAUCAAAGCAGAGGAUUCGAAUCUGUGGUUGAAAUCUAGUCUGAGGAUUCGAAUCCGUGGUUGAAAUCUA